AUGGCGGACGAGGGGACGGCCAACUGCAUCGACAUCAUCCUCGCCGUCAUCCUGCCGCCGCUCGGCGUCUUCUUCAAGUUCGCCUGCGGGAUCGAGUUCUGGAUCUGCUUGCUGCUCACCUUCUUCGGCUACCUCCCCGACAUCGUCUACGCCGUCUGGGUCAUCAUCGGAGGGGCUCCUCACCUCUGCCUGCCUCUAGGUAUGCAUGCCUAA
rnacentral:rRNA from 1 species